CUCCAUGCUUCACGGCAGGAACCAUGCAGAGAUCAUCCGUUCACCUACUCUGCAUCUCACAAAGACAGCGGUUGGAACCAAAAAUAUAAAAUUUGGACGUACCAGACCAAAGGACAGAUUUUAAGGACAGAUUUCAAAUUUGGACGUACCAGACCAAAGGACAGAUGUCCAUUGCUCGUGUUUAUUGACCCAAUGAGGUCUCUUCUUCUUAUUGGUGUCCUUUAAUAGUGGUUUCUUUUGAAGCAAUUCGACCAUGAUACCAUUGUACCAUUGAUACCAUUGUAUACCAUUGCGCCGGGGUAGAUGGCUGAUGUUUUACGUGCAACAUCCGCACUAAGCUAAAGGCUAGAGCUGCCGCUUUCAAGGAGCAAGCCUCUAACCUGAAAGCUUAUACGAAAUCCCGCUAUGCCGUCCGACAAACCAUCAAACAGGCAAAGCGUCAAUACAGGACUAAGAUCGAAUCGUACCACACCAGCUCCGAUGCUCGUCGGAUGUGGCAGGGCUCCCUGAACUCUUCAUUUUUAUGUAGCCUUCUCACAUGAUGUGAGCUAUAACUUGUUUCCAUGAACUACACAGAGACUUGCAUAGAUGUCUUCCAUAAUAGCUACUCUUAGUCCUGAACUGCCAAGGAGUCAGACACCACUUGGUCUACAUAGAACUCCACUGAGACAUCCCUCCCUAUCCUACUCUCACUUCCUGUUUAUCCAGAUCAAGUGAUCUCUUAUGCUUGGUUAAUACUAAUUCCUCCUUGUUUAACUAUGUCAAUAUUACCCUCUGGCCUCUCGGGUUCAUGGUGUAGGAAAUGAAGUCUCCCAACCAUACAGCUUCGGAUGGACAGCUCACCUAUAAAGCCCCACCCUCUUCCAGAAAACACAUCAUUAGCAAGUGUCAGACACAUUUUCACUUCUAUGAACAAGAACAGUGAGGAAAGGACAGGUAAGGUAUUUUUCAUUCGAGAGAUGGCCCCCAGAAUUCUGUUAAUUCCAGUUCUCCUCUCGAACUCUGUUAUUGUUCGACAGUGUCAUGGUGUCUUACCCUCCCGCAGUGUGAUAUGAAUCCGGGUAGUUCUUUCUGCUAGCUGUCACCAGGAGUCCUUGGUAUGGUCCCCCCAACAGGCCUCGGGGACUGGAUUGAGUGACUUCACCUGUAAUUCACCUGUAGUGCAUAAAAUCUUGGACAUACAGGUUUGGUUAACAAACAGUUUCUCAUUUGUUCUAUCUGAUUAUAUAUUUAACUUCUAUACCUACUUGUUAGCUUUUUUUAUCAGUUAAUUAUCCCGUAGGUCACAUCCUAUCCUAUAACACAAUUUACCCAUCCCCCCUUUGUUACCUGGCUCUGCCCAGGUAACAACCUUGCCUACUCUUAAACAAUGACUUAGGUAAGAUUAGUCAAUUAUCCUUAUGUCUGACAUCAUCAUGUAGGAGCCCCUUUCAUUUUCCACAUGUCAAAUUCUCCCUUGGGCGUCCAUUCAUGUCAAUCCUGUACCAAUUCUCUGUCAAGUUUCUUAUCUACUUUAAGAAGUAUCUGUGCUACUUAUAUAUUGUCUUAAAUAUAUAUAUUUACCGAUUUAAACCGUAACCCUUUUCUCUCAUAUCUCUCAAAUACCACUAAGCUUCUAACGGUUUGACUUUAUCUAAAAUAAUUGAUUUUAGAAAAAACAUGUCUAUGAGUGGCAAUCUCUAAAGUCCUUACAUUUCCUUAAUCAAUCUAUCUUAAUCCUAACAAUAAUCCUAAAUCAUCACAGAUGUCCUAUAUUCCUGUUAAAUGUAAUACUUUUU